UAGAACACUCACUACCGAGGUCCAAACUGCCUCUGGAGAACACUCACUACCGAGGUCCAAACUGCCUCUGGAGAACACUCACUACCGAGGUCCAAACUGCCUCUGGAGAACACUCACUACCGAGGUCCAAACUGCCUCUGGAGAACACUCACUACCGAGGUCCAAACUGCCUCUGGAGAACACUCACUACCGAGGUCCAAACUGCCUCUGGAGAACACUCACUACCGAGGUCCAAACUGCCUCUGGAGAACACUCACUACCGAGGUCCAAACUGCCUCUGGAGAACACUCACUACCGAGGUCCAAACUGCCUCUGGAGAACACUCACUACCGAGGUCCAAACUGCCUCUGGAGAACACUCACUACCGAGGUCCAAACUGCCUCUGGAGAACACUCACUACCGAGGUCCAAACUGCCUCUGGAAGCAACGCCAGCCUUAGAUCACAAUGCCAAGCGUCGGCUGGAGUGGUGUAAAGCUCGCCGCCAUUGAACUCUGGAGCAGUGGAAACGCAUUCGCUGGAGUCAUGAAUCACGCUUCACCAUCUGGCUGUCUGACAGACUACUCUGGGUUUGGCAGAUGCCAGGAGGACGCUACCUGCCAGAAUGCAGAGUGCCCACUGUAAAGUUUGGUGGAGGAGGAAUAAUGGUCUGGGGCUGUGUUUCAUGGUUUGGGACCCUUAGUUUGAGUGAAGAGCUUAAUGCUACAGAAUACAAUGACAUUCUAGACUAUUCUGUGCUUCCAACUUUGUGGUAACAGUUUGGGCGAGGCCCUUUCCUGUUUCAGCAAGAAAAUGCCCCCUGUGCACAAAGCAAAGUCCAUACAGAAAUCAUUUGGAAGAACUUGACUGGCCUGCAUAGAGCCCUGACCUCAACCCCAUCGAACACCUUUGGGAUGAAUUGGAACGCAGCAUUGUUCCAACAUCUAGUGGAAAGCCUUCCCAGAAGAGUGGAGGCUGUUAUAGCAGCAAUGUUCCUACAUCUAGUGGAAAGCCUUCCCAGAAGAGUGGAGGCUGUUAUAGCAGCAAAGGAGGGACCAUCUCCAUAUUAAUGCCCAUGGUUUUGGAAUGAGUUGUUGGCUGAGCAGGUGUCCACAUACUUUUGGUCAUGUAGUGUCGUCUUCAGAGAUAAUGUCUGGUCAUGUAGUGUCGUCUUCAGAGAUAAUGUCUGGUCAUGUAGUGUCGUCUUCAGAGAUAAUGUCUGGUCAUGUACAGUAGUCUUCAGAGAUAAUGUCUGGUCAUGUAGUGUAGUCUUCAGAGAUAAUGUCUGGUCAUGUAGUGUCGUCUUCAGAGAUAAUGUCUGGUCAUGUAGUGUAUUCAAUGGGGAACAAGGUGCCAUUUGGGACAGCAGGGAUAAUGGUGUGUGAUGUGUCUGUAGUCCCCUGACAGCAGGGAUAAUGGUGUGUGAUGUGUCUGUAGUCCUCUGACAGCAGGGAUAAUGGUGUGUGAUGUGUCUGUAGUCCUCUGACAGCAGGGAUAAUGGUGUGUGAUGUGUCUGUAGUCCUCUGACAGCAGUGAUAAUGGUGUGUGAUGUGUCUGUAGUCCUCUAACAGCAGGGAUAAUGGUGUGUGAUGCGUCUGUAGUCCUCUGACAGCAGGGAUAAUGGUGUGUGAUGUGUCUGUGGUCCUCUGACAGCAGGGAUAAUGGUGUGUGAUGUGUCUGUAGUCCUCUGACAGCAGGGAUAAUGGUGUGUGAUGUGUCUGUAGUCCUCUGACAGCAGUGAUAAUGGUGUGUGAUGUGUCUGUAGUCCUCUGACACCAGUGAUAAUGGUGUGUGAUGUCUGUAGUCCUCUGACACCAGGGAUAAUGGUGUGUGAUGUCUGUAGUCCUCUGACACCAGGGAUAAUGGUGUGUGAUGUCUGUAGUCCUCUGACAGCAGUGAUAAUGGUGUGUGAUGUGUCUGUAGUCCUCUGACAGCAGUGAUAAUGGUGUGUGAUGUAUGUAGUCCUCUGACAGCAGGGAUAAUGGUGUGUGAUGUGUCUGUAGUCCUCUGACAGCAGGGAUAAUGGUGUGUGAUGUGUCUGUAGUCCUCUGACAGCAGGGAUAAUGGUGUGUGAUGUGUCUGUAGUCCUCUGACAGCAGGGAUAAUGGUGUGUGAUGUGUCUGUAGUCCUCUGACAGCAGGGAUAAUGGUGUGUGAUGUGUCUGUAGUCCUCUGACACCAGGGAUAAUGGUGUGUGAUGUCUGUAGUCCUCUGACAGCAGGGAUAAUGGUGUGUGAUGUCUGUAGUCCUCUGACAGCAGGGAUAAUGGUGUGUGAUGUGUCUGUAGUCCUCUGACAGCAGGGAUAAUGGUGUGUGAUGUCUGUAGUCCUCUGACAGCAGGGAUAAUGGUGUGUGAUGUGUCUGUAGUCCUCUGACAGCAGGGAUAAUGGUGUGUGAUGUGUCUGUAGUCCUCUAACAGCAGGGAUAAUGGUGUGUGAUGUGUCUGUAGUCCUCUGACAGCAGGGAUAAUGGUGUGUGAUGUGUGUAGUCCUCUGACAGCAGGGAUAAUGGUGUGUGAUGUGUCUGUAGUCCUCUGACAGCAGGGAUAAUGGUGUGUGAUGUGUCUGUAGUCCUCUGACAGCAGGGAUAAUGGUGUGUGAUGUGUCUGUAGU